rnacentral:rRNA from 1 species
CCUACGGGAGGCAGCAGUAAGGAAUUUUAGACAAUGGGCGAAAGCCUGAUCUAGCAACGCCGCGUGGACGAUGAAGGCCUUCGGGUCGUAAAGUCCUUUUCUGUGGGAAGAUCGUGACGGUACCACAGGAAUAAGCAUCGGCUAACUACGUGCCAGCAGCCGCGGUAAUACGUAGGAUGCAAGCGUUGUCCGGAUUUAUUGGGCGUAAAGAGUGCGUAGGCGGCUUCUUAAGUGGGGCGUGAAAUCCCCCGGCUUAACCGGGAAGGGUCGUCCUAAACUGGGGGGCUUGAGGGUAGAAGAAGAGAGCGAAAUUCCGGGUGUAGGGGUAAAAUGCGUAGAUAUCGGGAGGAACACCUGUGGCGAGGGCGGCUCUCAAGGCUAUUCCUGACGCUGAGGCGCGAAAGCGGGGGGAGCGAACGAAAUUAGAUCCCCGGGUAGU